AUGAAGAUUCCAACAGGAUGGUCUGACCAGAGGGGCUAGCACUCUGGAGUCGUGGGUGCAGCCAGGUACCCUGUGCAGGGCCUGGGAGGCUCUCCAGGCCACAGCCCUCAGAGAGCGCUGGGUCCCGUGUUGUGUGUGGGUUCCAUGUCCUCCACACAGCAGGAGAGGGGCCUCCCUGACCUCAACACCUGCCCCAUCAGUCUUGCUUCUCCCCAGCAAGCCUGCACUCUGGGGUCUCCAUAGGAGCUGGGGAAGCUGGGGCCCUCCCAGGGACCCUAGUCGCCACUGGGGGCUCUUGGCCUGGUUUCAUAAGAUGGAGCACUGCACAAGGCUAUGCUCAGAAAGCUGGUAAACGCAGGGCAGGGUGGGCCUCGAGCCUGGGCUGGAGGGGUCUCUACCCUUGCUGGCCUGAGAGAUGGCCCAUAUUUCUUAUUUGUGACCCCCUGCUCUUCCUGGCCACCCCCCCCAGGUGGCUGAACAGGGUGCUUUUGUUGUGGCGAGGGGCCAGGAUGUGACCUGGGGUGCAGCCUCAGGCCCCAGGGUUCAGGCCUCAGAGGUAGCCUGUGUGCAGGGCUGCGGCAGAGCCCCAGCCCCUCCCAACCAGAGCCCCUCCAGAGCAGGGCCUCCAGGUUCACCUGGGACCAGGACCCUGGGGGCACACCCCAGGGUCGGGGAGGGGUAGGAAGGCCUCCCAUUGAAUCCUGGCUUCAGGCUUUGCCCUAAGAGGGGUCUAGAGUGAGGGUGUGGGCCCCCGGCUGAUGGCCUCUGACCCUGGCAACACUCAAACAGGUGGGACCCUGACCAUCUCGUUCCAGCCGCCCCCGCACUGGGCUGCAGAGCAUCUGUUUUUCUGCUUUUCCAGUUUCUUUUUUUUUUUUUUUUGAGACGGGGUCUUGCUCUAUUGCCCAGGCUGGAGUGCAGUGGCAUGAUCUCAGCUCACUCAUGACCUCCACCUCCCGGGUUCAAGCAAUUCUCCUGCCUCAGCCUCCUGAGUAGCUGGGAUUACAGGUGCCCACCACCGUGCCCGGCUAAUUUUUUGUAUUUUUAGUAGAGACGGGGUUUUGCCAUGUUGGCGAGGAUGGUCUCGAACUCCUGACCUCAAGUGAUCCACCCACCUCGGCCUCCGAAAGUGCUGGAAUUACAGGCAUGAGUCACCACAUCCUGCCUGCUUUUGCAGUUUCUUUCCCAAAGGUCACACUCAGUAGGGAGAUGAAGGCGGAAACAUCCUGGCUGUGGCUUUCUGGCCUCGGAGUAGGUUUUAGAGGAAGGGGCCAGAGGCUGCCUAGUGCAACAUGGCUGUGGGCAGCCCCUUUCCUGGAGCCCUCCUCCCUACCCUACAACCUCCCCACCUGGCUCCACAGCUCCAUCCUUAACCCACGAAAGGGGAGAGCAUGGGCAGAGUCUCCAUCCAGCAGGUGGGGGUUCUGGUGGCACUCCCUGUGCCUGCUGCUGGCCUGUGGGUCUGCCCUGCACCCAAGAGCCCCACGGCCCAUCCCCCCCACCAUGCCCAGGACCAGAGAGGUUGGGCAGACAAGAACUGGGCUGUGCCAGCCCUCUGUGCCUCGGUUUUCCCACUGGUUACACAGGAUGGUCGCGUUUCCCCUGCCUACCUCACAGAGCUGUUCUGAGGGUGCAUGGAGGAGUACUGUCCCACCAAGGACAACUAGAAACCAAAGCCAUCUGACAGCCAGUGCGGUAAGGGCGGGGGGUGUGUGUGUGUGAGGUGUGCACACCCCCCCGACCUUGGCCGUGGACUGGCCUCACAGGACAGCAGGACAGGAGGCCACCCCUUGCAGAGCUAGGCUCAGCCCCAUCAGUCUCAAAGGUUAAUCAGUCACCACAGAGGCGCCCCUCAGGCCUGUGGCCACUGUCCACUAUUACAUAGACAGACCCCACCCUUGCCCAGACCAGUUGUAGGCCAGUCCCGCCCUGCAAUCUGGCCUGCUGCCUUCCUCUUCCAUGUUGGUCCCCUUGGCCACUGUCUCUGGGCACGCAGGCCAGUGUCCUGGUUCAGUGCCUCGGCCAGAGCUGGGGCACGAGAGGGGCCUCUGGAUGGGAGCUGGGGGUGUCUCCGCAGGGGACUGGCAGCCUUGCCACACCGUCCUCCUUCCCAGAUGGAAAGACCUGAGUGCCUCUCGCCUUCCUCCGGGAAUGAAUUCCUCAUGAAAAUGACCAGGCCGCUUCUUCCGAGGGCCAGGCUGCCAGACCCACUCCUUUUCCUGAGCCGCCCUCUCCCCGAGACCUGUCCUGUCGUCCGCGGGUGUGCGGCCUGCAGGGGACUGAGCGCUGGGCUUGCCGGGCACCUCUGCAGUCUGACCCUGCGGGCCAAAGAGGCACCACUGUAGUUUCUGCAGACCCCCAUGCGGUUCAUUGUGCAUUGUUUCGUUUCUAGGAUGUAUGUGUUGCUAGUUUUUCUUUUUUUUAAUGAAACCCGGGAUUAAUGUAAAUAGCUUUUUGGGGAGCGGAUUCUAAUGUCACGUACGUGACCGUGUGGACUAUUUUAAGGUGCUGAUGCAACACUAAUAAACCUGGAGGGGCCGGC